URCUCAGUGUAGAUGGAAUUAGGUAGCUGCCUGCCUGACAAAACAUUCGUCAAUUGUUUUGUCGACCUACUCGCUGGUUGAGUAGGGUUGUUCAGUAAAAUCUCUGGAUCCAUGGUUCCACUAUAAAUUAUACCGUAUAGCGCAAAUUAAAUAUUUAGACUAGCUAGCUACAUCGUUUUCAGAAGCGUUUCCUARGAGGGGCCGUUUCGACAGAACACCGGAAAUAAGUGMCACGUUCCAUAGAUUUCGUUGGAAGAAAAUAGCUAACGAAUCUAUGUUCCGGCUAUAAGCGGUCAUUCUGCGACAUUUAUUAUUGCUCCUCUGUACCAAGAGGCAAAUUCUAAGCGGAUAUUUAUCUGAGGAAGGCGAUACAGUGGUAAAAAAGGAGACGGGGCCUUCUGCUGCAGUGAUGGAACAGCCAGGCCGUGAUCCAGAGGAACAGCACCACUGCCCAAGUGGAGAGCAGUGAGAGAGGCUCUACAGAUAUAGAUACUCCGGCAGAGCAGAGCAACCAGAACCAGGAUUCCUCUUUACCCCCAAAUACAUCAAGUGGUCAGGGGAGCCAGAACUUGGAGGAUCUUGAUACUGAAGUAAAAAAGGAGACGGGCUUCUGCUGCAGUGAUGGAAC